rnacentral:tRNA from 1 species
CGGGGCGUGGCGCAGUCCGGUUUAGCGCGCCUGAAUGGGGUUCAGGAGGUCGCUGGUUCGAAUCCAGUCGCCCCGACCA